GUGGGGAAUCUUAGACAAUGGGCGCAAGCCUGAUCUAGCCAUGCCGCGUGAGCGAUGAAGGCCUUAGGGUUGUAAAGCUCUUUCACCGGAGAAGAUAAUGACGGUAUCCGGAGAAGAAGCCCCGGCUAACUUCGUGCCAGCAGCCGCGGUAAUACGAAGGGGGCUAGCGUUGUUCGGAAUUACUGGGCGUAAAGCGCACGUAGGCGGACAUUUAAGUCAGGGGUGAAAUCCCGGGGCUCAACCCCGGAACUGCCUUUGAUACUGGGUGUCUGGAGUAUGGAAGAGGUAAGUGGAAUUCCGAGUGUAGAGGUGAAAUUCGUAGAUAUUCGGAGGAACACCAGUGGCGAAGGCGGCUUACUGGUCCAUUACUGACGCUGAGGUGCGAAAGCGUGGGGAGCAAACAGGAUUAGAAACCCGUGUAGUCC
rnacentral:rRNA from 1 species